GAUGAACGCUGGCGGCGUGCCUAAUACAUGCAAGUCGAGCGAACGGACGAGAAGCUUGCUUCUCUGAUGUUAGCGUCGGACGGGUGAGUAACACGUGGAUAACCUACCUAUAAGACUUGGAUAACUUCGGGAAACCGUAGCUAAUACCGGAUAAUAUUUUGAACCGCAUGGUUCAAAAGUGAAAGACGGUCUUGCUGUCACUUAUAGAUGGAUCCGCGCUGCAUUAGCUAGUUUGUAAGGUAACGGCUUACCAAGGCAACGAUGCAUAGCCGACCUGAGAGGGUGAUAGGCCACACUGGAACUGAGAAACGGUCAAGACUCCUACGGGAGGCAGAAGUAGGGAAUCUGCGGCAAUGGGCGAAAGCCUGACGGAGCAACGCCGCGUGAGUGAUGAAGGUCUUCGGAUCGUAAAACUCUGUUAUUAGGGAAGAACAUAUGUGUAAGUAACUGUGCACAUCUUGACGGUACCUAAUCAGAAAGCCACGGCUAACUACGUG
rnacentral:rRNA from 1 species